CGCCAAGAUAGUGUGAUAUUUUAGUGUGUGUGUUUUUCGUGUGUUUAACGAAGUGCUAGUGUAUUUUCAUGAAAUUCAUCAAUUCUUCGGCGCAGCUGGUGCAGUCUAAGGCGGAAUCUACAUUGGAUUGAGCAAAUUGCAAUACCCGUGCUGGUAUAGCUGAAAGUGUUUUCAGAUAUUCAGCUUGGGUACAACGACCGGU